UAUAUACUCCCUCCGUCCCGAAUUACUUGUCGCAGGUAUGGAUGUAUCUAGAUGUAUUUUAGUUCUAGAUAUAUCCAUUUCUGCGACGAGUAAUUUGGGACGGAGGGAGUAUACA
rnacentral:pre_miRNA from 1 species